UACAGAGGGUGCGAGCGUUAAUCGGAAUUACUGGGCGUAAAGCGUGCGUAGACGGCUAUCUAAGUCGGGUGUGAAAGCCCCGGGCUCAACCUGGGAAUUGCAUUCGAGACUGAAUAGCUAGGGUACGGUAGAGGGAAGUGGAAUUUCCGGUGUAGCGGUGAAAUGCGUAGAUAUCGGAAGGAACAUCAGUGGCGAAGGCGACUGUCUGGACAGAUACUGACGCUGAGGCGCGAAAGCGUGGGGAGCAAACAGG
rnacentral:rRNA from 1 species